UCUGGCCUUUUUUAAAGUUUUAUUUUAAGUUCAAGGGUACAUGUGCAGGAUUGUUAUAUAGGUAAAUUAUGUGUCACAGGGGUUUGAUGUACAGAUUAUUUCACUACCCAGUUAAUAAGCAUAGUACCUGAUAGACAGUUUCUCAAUCCUCACCCUCCUUCCUCUUUCAACCCUCAAGCAGGCCCUGGUGUCUUUUCCCUUCUUUGUGUCCAUAUGUACUCAACUUUCAGCUUCCACUUUUAAGACAACAUGCAGUAUUUGAUUUUCUAUUACUGUGUUAGUUCACUUAGGAUAAUGGCAUCCAGCUCCAUCCAUGUUCCUGCAAAGGAUACAAUCUCAUUCUUUUUUAUGGCUGCAUAGUACUCCAUGGUGAAUGUGUACCAUAUUUUCUUUAUCUAGUCUACUGGUGAUGAACAUUUAGGUUGAUUCCUUGUUUUUGCUAUUGUGAAUAGUGCUGCAAUGAACAUACACGUGCAUGGGUCUUGAUGGUAGAACAAUUUAUAUCCCUUUGGGUAUAUAGCCAAUGAUAGUAUUGCUGGGUCAAAUGGUAGUUCUGCUUUGAGAUCUUUGAGAAAUGGUCAAAUUGCUUUCCACAAUGGCUGAACUAAUUUUCAUACUCACCAGUAGUGUAUAAGUAUUCUCUUUUCUUUGCAACCCUGCCAGCAUCUACUUUCUGACUUUUAAAUAACAGCCAUUCUGACUGGUGGGAAAUGGUAUAUCAUUUUUUAAAAAAAAUUUAUUUUAGAGACAGGGUUUCAUUCUGCUGCCCAGGCAAGAGUGCAGUGACAUGAUCAUAGAUCACUACAGCCUCAAACUCCUGUGCUCACGGAAGUCCUAUAUUUCUGAAUUUGUAUACUGGUUCUGUUGAUCACUAGCUGCAUAAAGUUCAAAUAUAGAUUUAGGCAGCCAAGAUGGCCGAAUAGCAGUAGCUCCACUCUGCGGCUCCCACCGAGAAGGAAGGAAACAACGGGUGAACUCUGAAUCUUCAACUGAGACAAACCAAUGCAGAGAGAAUUUGUCACAACCAGGCCUGCCUUGCAAGAGCUCCUGAAGGAAGCACUAAAUAUGGAAAGGAAAAAUUGUUACCAGCCACUAGAAAAAACACACUGUUGUACACAGACCAGUGACAGUAUGAAGCAAAUACAUAAAUAAGUCUGCAAAAUAACCAACUACAAUCAUGAAAACAAGAUCAAAUUCACACAUAACAAUAUCAAUUUUAUUUGGGAGGCUGAGGCAGGAGGAUCACGAGGCCAGGAGAUCGAGACCAUCCUGGCUAACAUGGUGAAACCUCAUCUCUACUAAAAAUACAAAAAAACAUUAGCUGGGCUCAGUGGCAGGCCCCUGUAGUCCCAGCUACUCUG
rnacentral:lncRNA from 1 species